UACGUAGGGUGCAAGCGUUGUCCGGAAUUAUUGGGCGUAAAGAGCUCGUAGGCGGUCUGUCGCGUCGGCUGUGAAAACCCAUGGCUCAACCCCGGGCCUGCAGUCGAUACGGGCAGACUAGAGUGCGGUAGGGGAGACUGGAAUUCCUGGUGUAGCGGUGAAAUGCGCAGAUAUCAGGAGGAACACCGGUGGCGAAGGCGGGUCUCUGGGCCGUAACUGACGCUGAGGAGCGAAAGCGUGGGGAGCGAACAGG
rnacentral:rRNA from 1 species